AUUUGAAUAGCUUAAAUGGAUUGAGAAGCGUGGCACUGAAGAUGCUAAGGUGAUAAUUUAUCUUUAAAUA
rnacentral:tRNA from 1 species